ensembl:lncRNA
UGGGAAUGGGCGGAGUCUUAUGGAGUUAUCUCCAGCCACAGCCGAGGGCCGGAUCCACACCUCCAUCUUCAGAAAUAACUCGCCACAUCUCUGCUUGCACUUUAGUUAACGAUGCGGCGGCGCUUUAGUGCUUUUAUUCUGUCGAGCGCUUUCAUUUGAGUCUGACGUUUGCUCUACUGCCGCUUUCAUUAAUUACAGCGAGCGGAAAAAAGAUAGUUCAUUUAUAGUGCAGAGGCUGAACCGCUGUGAAUGAGUGUGUGUGUGUGUGUGUGUGUGUGUGUGUGUGUGUGUGUGAGUGAAAGAGAGAGCCACAGUGUGUGUCCACUUCCUCUUCUGAGAAACCAGUGUCAUUCUGACGGGCAAGUAAUGCUGAAACGAGAGACUGAACCUGUCUGUCUGCGUGUCACUGGAUUUGACUCAAACACGUGACCCGCCUUUAAACACGAACGUUUACGGAGUCGGGCGACUGAAAUGAGAAUAUCAGAGACGUCAUUAUUUUGACAGUCGAUUAAUCAGAGGGUUAUUUAUUGAUUGAUCGGGCAGUUACAUUGUCGCUUAAUCGGACGGAUUUUUCACAUUGCUUAAUCAUAUGCUUAUUUUAGCGAUUAAUCGGACGGUUACAUCUUCACACACACACAUCCGGUAAACUCUCGCGUGUUCAUAAUGGAGAGAAGUCGAAGGCGCGCGAGUCUCCUGAUGACCACGACUUUGUCGCGUUUCGUUUCUACGGUUACAGAAAGCAGACGGGCUGACAGACAGACGCCGUAGUCUCGUACGUUAGCUGAACAAAGCUAGCUAGGUAAAAUAUCUCGCAUUAGCUAGCUAGGUCGUUGAUGUAGGAAUUAACUUGUUAACUUUCCUGAUGUGAUCGCUAGCGUCUUGGCCGACGUGAAAUCCACCGGAGGCGGAGCUCCUCGGACACGGUGUUCCUCCUGGCAGCCGGUGACGUUAAAAUCGUCCUCGGCUGGCGUGGGAAGGGUUCGACAGUUUCCCGGCGUACGCCCGGUGUGCUGGAGCUCCUGUGAAACAUGAUUGGUGUUUUAAUACAGAGUCGGGGUGAAGAUGCAGUAACGUAGUCCGUCGUUCUCAGAACAGCAGACGUUCCAGGUAUCGAGUGUUUACAUAGCUGUGUGUGUGUUUAAAGUGCGUUAUCUACAUCCUGUGUGACAGGACAAAGUCGCGUCCCGCUGUGAAAUCUGGAAAGCGGCGAUAGCUGCGAGCGAUCGAUGUGUCUCAGGGACGUUCAGUCAGGAUCACUUCCUCCACCUGCUCACACCGUUAAUCCCAAACACUUUUAUUAUUUCUCUUUUAAUCCGCGCGUCUCGGUCCUCGCCCAGGACGACAGCUCUUCAGGUUCUUCUUCAGGAGUCUGAUCUAACAUCGACGUACGAUGAUCGACGGAGGGGUUUUCGCAAACGGCAUUCGCAUGGGCGGGGAUGUUCUCGAAAACACUGGUAGUUUUUAUUUAAGUCGGUAAACAUGGAUAUCUAACGCUGCUCACAGAAACCAAAUGUCAAUAUAACCGCAAGCAGCGAUUACGGGGCCAAGCGCGGUAAUUAGACGAGCAAAGUAAGGAGAUAAGCGAGCAUGAUUUUAGCAUGGUCGUGAUCUUAUGACGAGCCGUUCAGAAUUCAUGAGCAUUUAUGGGUGCUUUUAUUUCGCACUGUGUUUGGUUUGAAUAUGCUAAAGCGUUCUAGAUGGAGCAUCACGUCCGUUUUGGCGUGCUCACUUUCAGAUUCGUUUGUGCGUCGUUCGUGGACGGUUCGACCGAUCGGCUGGAGUUCAGGGACUUUUCGUCGGCGUGGUCUGCAGAUCUCUUUCGAUUUUGGUGAUGAACGGUUUAGGGGGAGUUUGAAAAAGUUGUUUUUUUUUUUUUUACUUGAUUCAAAAUGGCUGACGGCGAGGUCGGGUUGACCGUGGCCUGAUUGGUAUCGUUGAUCUCAGCCCGAGUUGAAGAAUCUCGGAAGACCAGUCACAUGACCAUGGGCAAAAGUAAUCAAAAGCUAUUAGCAUUUUCAAAAAAAUAGUUCUCAUUGUUGACCAGAAGGUGCCGCUGUUCCAGAACAAUGCAGGUACCCUCGAGUCACGAUGCCAAACGCGAGCCCUGAGUUUUCAAACUAAAACGGGGUCUUCGGCGUUUCCGAAAGUCGAGGUAAAACGCCGGGGUAGCGUAGACGACAGGUGUAA